AGUAACACGUGAAUGAUCUACCUCCGAGUGGGGAAUAACUGAGAGAAAUCUUGGCUAAUACCGCAUAAUACCCACGGGUCAAAGCAGCAAUGCGCUUGGAGAGGAGUUCGCGGCGAUUAGCUAGUUGGCGGGGUAAUGGCCACCAAGGCGAUGAUCGGUAUCCGGCUGAGAGGGCGCACGGACACACUGGAACUGAAACACGGUCCAGACUCCUUACGGGAGGCAGCAGUGGGGAAUUUUUGCGCAAUUGGGGGAAACCCUGACGCAGCAACGCCGCGUGGAGGAUGAAGCCCCUUGGGGUGUAAACUCCUUUCGAUCGGGAAGAUUAUGACGGUACCGAUAUAAGAAGCCCCGGCUAACUUCGUGCCAGCAGCCGCGGUAAUACGAGGGGGGCAAAAGCGUUGUUCGGAAUUAUUGGGCGUAAAGGGUGCGUAGGCGGUUUGAACAAAAA
rnacentral:rRNA from 1 species